UACGAAGGGGACUAGCGUUGUUCGGAAUUACUGGGCGUAAAGCGCGCGUAGGCGGAUCGCUAAGUCAGGGGUGAAAUCCCAGGGCUCAACCCUGGAACUGCCUUUGAUACUGGCGAUCUGGAGAUCGGGAGAGGUUGGUGGAAUUCCGAGUGUAGAGGUGAAAUUCGUAGAUAUUCGCAAGAACACCAGUGGCGAAGGCGGCUUACUGGUCCGGAUCUGACGCUGAGGCGCGAAAGCGUGGGGAGCAAACAGG
rnacentral:rRNA from 1 species